UGAAAGUUGAUUGCAUUCGAUUUGGAACCGGGAUGCCUCCCAUGCAUGAGCCAAGUGCCCCGUUCAAUGCCCACGACGAAAUCGGCUCAAACACGUAAUUAAGAACGUGUAGUAAUUAGUCGGAUCCUGUGUUUUCCCAUGCAGAGGUGAUUGCUUUCGAUUACUGUUCGAUUUGAGAAAGGCAUUCCCAUCCUUGAUGCUUUCGCCCGAUGACGUGAAGGGCCUUUGCCUUGUGCCCGUGGGCACAGCAUAAUCGAAUCCGCUCAUUCAGAACAUUAUAGAUACAAAUGCUGAUGUCUGGAACGCCAUCUGAUUGGUGGCGCUUGUUACCAUGGUCCUGCGUAAAACAGAAGUUGUGAUUUAUUUACAGAGGCAAUUGCUUGCCUUUCCCACAUUUUCCUGCUAUCCUAAACAGCUUCAGACUGUUGCUGGCGACGGUAACGUUACUUUAUGGCUUUCUUCGGGAUAACGAAUUUGGGCUAUCAAAACCCCAUCGGAGACCAUAUGUUAUUGAGUCCGAGAUCGUCUGCUUCUCCUGGUGAUGAGGUGGAUUCAAGGAGCUGGGCUAAACAGUCAGGACUGCCCUCCAUCCAAGUCCAGAGGGGACCCCCACAAUGCACUGAUACCCCCUUCAGCCCAGACAUACACCAAGGUAGCCAGGGGCGAUACAAAGAGAUGCUCAAACGGGUUCAGAUACCAAGAUGUAAGUUAGAUCCCCGAAUCAGCUGUACUCAGUGCCCCUGACAGACAGCCAGCAGUGUGGAUGGUGGAUGUCUAAUGGAGGCCAAGGAAAGAUGCAUGAACCCUGGACCCAAGUCAGACGAUUCCCCCGCAAGAACAGUGAGAUGACCAAGUUUGUGAAAGAGAUGUCAAUGACGGACCGAGAGUUCAGCUUAUUCUGAUUUCCACUCCUGCAGUAACAUACACACACACACACACACACACACAAUCCCAUCCAAAGACCUCUGGGACCUUUACACUGUAAGGACUAUUGUGGUUUAAUAAACUGGGACAUUUUCAUCA